UACGUAGGGUGCAAGCGUUGUCCGGAAUUAUUGGGCGUAAAGAGCUCGUAGGCGGUCUGUCGCGUCUACUGUGAAAACUCGGGGCUUAACCCCGGGCCUGCAGUGGGUACGGGCAGACUAGAGUGCGGUAGGGGAGACUGGAAUUCCUGGUGUAGCGGUGAAAUGCGCAGAUAUCAGGAGGAACACCGGUGGCGAAGGCGGGUCUCUGGGCCGUAACUGACGCUGAGGAGCGAAAGCAUGGGGAGCGAACAGG
rnacentral:rRNA from 1 species